CAUACUUCUCGGCUUUUUAGCUAAGAUCAUGUGUAGAAAAAGUUCUUUUCGCUGUGAGAAGCGAAAUACAUCCUAUUGGAUGUAAUUCUCUCACAAUAAUUUUUUCAGGGUGUCAAAAAAUGAGUUACUGCUUGCAGCAACCUUUUUUGAAAAGUCAGCUCUGUCUUUACUACACAGAAUGUGGCUAACCCGGU